UACGUAGGGUGCUAGCGUUGUCCGGAUUUAUUGGGCGUAAAGAGCUCGUAGGCGGUUUGUCGCGUCUGCUGUGAAAACUGGAGGCUCAACCUCCAGCCUGCAGUGGGUACGGGCAGACUAGAGUGCGGUAGGGGAGAUUGGAAUUCCUGGUGUAGCGGUGGAAUGCGCAGAUAUCAGGAGGAACACCGAUGGCGAAGGCAGAUCUCUGGGCCGUAACUGACGCUGAGGAGCGAAAGCGUGGGGAGCGAACAGG
rnacentral:rRNA from 1 species